rnacentral:rRNA from 1 species
GAUUAACGCUAGCGGCAGGCCUAAUACAUGCAAGUCGAACGGGAUUCAAAGUAGCAAUAUUUUGAUGAGAGUGGCGCACGGGUGAGUAACACGUAUGCAAUUUACCUUUAACUGGGGGAUAGCCCUCCGAAAGGAGGAUUAAUACCGCAUAAUAUAUUGAAAUGGCAUCAUUUUAAUAUUAAACCUACGGGGGUUAAAGAUGAGCAUGCAUCCGAUUAGCUAGUUGGUGUGGUAACGGCUCACCAAGGCAACGAUCGGUAGGGGGUCUGAGAGGAUGAUCCCCCANACUGGUACUGAGACACGGACCAGACUCCUACGGGAGGCAGCAGUAAGGAAUAUUGGACAAUGGAGGCAACUCUGAUCCAGCCAUGCCGCGUGAAGGAUUAAGGCCCUAUGGGUUGUAAACUUCUUUUAGACGGGACAAAACCCCUUUACGUGUAAAGGGUUGAUGGUACUGUCAGAAUAAGCAUCGGCUAACUUCGUG